GACGAACGCUGGCGGCGUGCCUAAUACAUGCAAGUAGGACGCAGUUGCGAACGGGUGAGUAACGCGUAGGUAACUGCCUCUUAGAGGGGGAUAACUAUUGGAACCGAUAGCUAAUACCGCAUACUAGUAGAUUGACAUGCGUUGUAUUAGCUAGUAGGUAGGGUAAUGGCGUACCUAGGCGACGAUACAAAGCCGACCUGAGAGGGUGAUCGGGCACACUGGGACGGUGGCACGGCCCAGACGCCCACGGGAGUAAGCAAGAGGGAAUCUUCGGAAAUGGGGGGAACCCUGAACGAGCAACGCCGCGUGAGUGAAGAAGGGUUUCGGAUCGUAAAGCUCUGUUGUUAAGGAAGCGGUACUUAACCAGAAAGGGACGGCUAACUACGUGCCAGCAGCCGCGGUAAUAC
rnacentral:rRNA from 1 species